rnacentral:rRNA from 1 species
AAACGGUACAGGAUGUGCUUGCACAUCGCUGACGAGUGGCGGACGGGUGAGUAAUGCUUAGGGAUCUGCCUCUGUGUGGGGGAUAACUAUUGGAAACGAUAGCUAAUACCGCAUAAUGUUUACGGACCAAAGGGGGCGUUUGCUCCCGCGCAGAGAGGAACCUAAGUGAGAUUAGCUAGUUGGUAAGGUAAUGGCUUACCAAGGCGACGAUCUCUAGCUGUUCUGAGAGGAAGAUCAGCCACACUGGGACUGAGACACGGCCCAGACUCCUACGGGAGGCAGCAGUGGGGAAUAUUGCACAAUGGGGGGAACCCUGAUGCAGCCAUGCCGCGUGUGUGAAGAAGGCCUUCGGGUUGUAAAGCACUUUCAGUUGUGAGGAAAGGUUAGUAGUUAAUACCUGCUAGCUGUGACGUUAGCAACAGAAGAAGCACCGGCUAACUCCGUGCCAGCAGCCGCGGUAAUACGGAGGGUGCGAGCGUUAAUCGGAAUUACUGGGCGUAAAGCGCACGCAGGCGGUUUGUUAAGCUAGAUGUGAAAGCCCCGAGCUCAACUUGGGAUGGUCAUUUAGAACUGGCAGACUAAAGUCUUUG